CCCAACUAUCCCUAUUAAUCAUUACGUCAAUCCUAGAAACCAACAAAAUAGAACCAUGCCGUCCUAUUCUAUUAUUCCAUGCUAAUGUAUUCGAGCAAAAUGCCUGCUUUAAACACUCUAAUUUUUUCAAGGUAAAGGUCCUGGUUCCACAUGACACCCAAUUAAGGACAUCAUGCUUCUCCAGAAGGUGAGAAAUCAACUGCGACAGUUCAUACCCCUUAAGGCACGACCAUCACGUCAAUCCCGAAAUUCAACUACGAGCUUUUUAACUGCAACAACUUUAAUAUACGCUAUUGGAGCUGGAAUUACCGCGGCUGCUGGCACCAGACUUGCCCUCCAA
rnacentral:misc_RNA from 1 species